rnacentral:misc_RNA from 1 species
GAUGAAGAACGUAGCGAAAUGCGAUACUUGGUGUGAAUUGCAGAAUCCCGUGAACCAUCGAGUCUUUGAACGCAAGUUGCGCCCGAAGCCAUCAGGUUGAGGGCACGUCUGCCUGGGCGUCACAUAUCGUUGCCCAAUGCCUAUUGCAGUGCAAUAGGAAUUGCUAGGGCGAAUGAUGGCUUCCCGUGAGCGUUGUUGCCUCGCGGUUGGUUGAAAAUCGAGUCCUUGGUAGGGUGUGCCAUGGUAGAUGGUGGUCGAGUUAGAACGAUACCGAUCAUGUGCAUGCUCCCCAAAAUAUGGCCUCUAUGACCCACACGCGUCUUUUGACGCUCAUGACGAGACCUCAGGUCAGGCGGGGCUACCCGCUGAAUUUAAGCAUAUCAAUAAGCGGAGGA